rnacentral:rRNA from 1 species
UUUCGUGCUCGAAAGAGAACCUGCACACAGGUGCUGCAUGGCUGUCGUCAGCUCGUGUCGUGAGAUGUUGGGUUAAGUCCCGCAACGAGCGCAACCCUUGCCAUCAGUUGCUACGAAAGGGCACUCUGAUGGGACUGCCGGUGACAAACCGGAGGAAGGUGGGGAUGACGUCAAGUCCUCAUGGCCCUUAUAGGUGGGGCUACACACGUCAUACAAUGGCCGGUACAAAGGGCAGCCAACCCGCGAGGGGGAGCCAAUCCCAUAAAGCCGGUCGUAGUCCGGAUCGCAGUCUGCAACUCGACUGCGUGAAGUCGGAAUCGCUAGUAAUCGUGGAUCAGCAUGUCACGGUGAAUACGUUCCCGGGUCUU